UACGUAGGGGGCAAGCGUUGUCCGGAAUUAUUGGGCGUAAAGAGCUCGUAGGCGGUCUGUCGCGUCUGCUGUGAAAACUCAGGGCUUAACCCUGAGCUUGCAGUGGGUACGGGCAGACUAGAGUGCGGUAGGGGAGACUGGAAUUCCUGGUGUAGCGGUGAAAUGCGCAGAUAUCGGGAAGAACACCCGUGGCGAAGGCGGCUCUCUGGAACGCAACUGACGCUGAGACGCGAAAGCGUGGGGAGCAAACAGG
rnacentral:rRNA from 1 species